AGUGGGACCCGCGAGAGGGCACCAUGCCGCGCUCCUUCCUGGUGAAGACGCACUCCGGCCACAGGGUCCCCAACUACGGGCAGCUGGAGACGCAGAGAGGUAGGGGCUGCGGGCUCCCUAGCCCCGCCCAGGCCUCAACUCUUGCAGGAGGGGCGAGGCCCCCUCUGAGCGGGGACACCUGCCCCAGGUGGGAGGAGGGAGCUGAGAACUUGGGACUGGAGAAACCAGCGGCUCCUGUUCCGCCUGCAGGGGGCUAGUGGUGCCCCCCAUCCUCCCAGACAAGGCAGCCCCAUCCACGCCCAGCGACCCUCCCCAGCCCCGGGACCUCACCUCCAUCGUCACCCACGCCCUGCCUCCCCCCACGUUCCUGUGUCACGAGGAAGCUCAGGGGGCCUCAGGGCCAGACCCCCUGGAAGUCAGCCAGGCGGGCCCUCGGGCUGGCCGGGCCCCCUGCACACCCCUCAGAGACAGCCUGAACCCCCUCAACCUGCCCACGCGCUGGCCCCCCAUCCUGGGAGCAGACAGGGCCCAGGCUCUAGGCUGCCUGCGGGGCGCCGAGCGGGCCCACUGUGCCCUGGGGGGCUGCCAGUACCACAAGCCCUUCCAUGCGGCCUCCCUGGCCAGGCGCCAGCAGCUGCAUCACCACCUGCAGGCCCAGCGCUGCUUCACCUGCAAGUUCUGUGACAAGGACUACGGCAGCCUGGGCGCCCUCAAGAUGCACAUCCGCACGCACACGCUGCCCUGCCUCUGCGCCAUCUGCGGCAAGGCCUUCUCCAGGCCCUGGCUGCUCCAGGGCCACAUCCGGACCCACACAGGUGAGAAGCCCUACACCUGCCCUCACUGCAGCCGGGCGUUCGCCGACCGCUCCAACCUGCGGGCCCAUCUGCACACGCACUCGGCCACCAAGAGAUACCAGUGCAAGGGCUGCUCCAAGACCUUCUCCCGCGUGGCGCUCCUGGCGCGGCACGAGGAGUCCGGCUGCUGCCCUGGGCCCUGAGCCGCUGCCCUUCCCUGCCCACGGGAGGCCUCUCUAGGGGAAGACUCCUGUCCAGAUGAGAACGGAUAUUCUGUUUACCACCAGCCCCGGGCUUCGGCUCUGUUCCUCCCGGUUUCAGCCUGCUGGGGGCCGGCCCUGGACGCCCCCUCCUCCAGACCAGCGGUUGCCCUCGGGGCCAGCACCUCCCUGGGGUCCACUCACGUGGGCAGAGCUCCCUGGAUGCUCACCUCCACCUGCCUUUGACGGCAUCUGGGCCCGGCUGUGUCAUGUCACCCACGCAGAGGCCUGCCCGAGACACACACAUUAGGCCGUCCUGAAUGGAACGGCUGUGGGGGUGGUUCUGGGGCGCAAAGAGCCCCGCCCUCUGAGGCCGAUCCUUGCCCAGGCCCUGGGGUCGGGGUGGAGGCUGAGGCCCGACCCCUCCCGAGGGAGUGGGACUCCGGACAAUCGGACGCAGAGCAGGGGAAGCCGAGGGGUAAGGGCCUCGAGGGCUGUGCACUCCUGGGACGGGGAGCCCCGGUGAGCAGGGUCUCCCCUCGGAAGGAAGGCGGGACGGGGGGGUGGGGAGGGCACGAGACGGGAGCCGAGGCCACGUGUGUCCCUGGCAGGACUUCACCUCCCCAGAGCCUGUCCCACACCUGCAGCCUCCCCAGUGACCAGCCCGCACACGGGCUCCCUCAGCCGCCCCCCGGGGCUGGAGCAUCCCCCAACCAGCGAGCGACGGACCUCGGACCUGGCCUGAGACACCCGCCUUCCCAAACCAACUCAGACGCCAAGACCCUAUUUCCUUCUCGUAGGUGGCCAUCCCUUGGCCCCUGCUGGGCUGGUCCUGCCUCUUGCCAGCCUGUCUGCGGGCGGACCCUGGAGGGAGGCCUGAGUCUAAGGGAGACUGGCCGAGUCCUCAAUGCUGGGCGGGGACCCCUGCUCCUCUCCACAGGGUCCACCUGGGUCCCCCCACGGAUCCCUCCCCAUCUGUCAGGGGCCAAGGGGCCCUGGGUGGCUGGUUUGAUGACGGCCAUCAGAGGGAGCCUGGGGACAUCCCAGAGGAAAGCUGACCUUGAGAGUGGGCGUCUCUGGACCAAGGGUGACCUUGAUGAAACAGCACUGAGGAGAGUCCUGCUCCAGCCUAGGCCACGCCGAAUGUGACGCUGGAAAGGAGACCCUCCCUGAGGAAGCCACACGUGCGCCCAGCCUCCCCGGAGGGAAGAAGAGCAGACACUGGAGCCUGAGCUGCCGUGUGGGUGUCCUGGGCCGGUGUGACAGGCCCACAGGCCAGAGGCCGUAAACUGUAGAAACCUGCUCUCCCAGGCCUGGAGCCGGGACCGGAGACAGAGGGGCGGCCGCCGGUUCCUCCCCGGGCCAGGAGGGUCUGUCCCCGGCCUCGCCCAGGUCCUGCGUUCGCCGGCUCCUCGGUGUUGUGGGGCUCGUAGAAGCGUCACCCCACCUCUGCCUCCAUCUUCACCAGGCGUCUCCCCGUGGGCGUGUCUGUGUCCAGUUUCCCCUUUUUCUAAGGACACCCGUGGUCCUGGGGGAACACCCACCCCCGUGACCUCACCUCGACCCGCACAAGGACCCGGGUUCCAAGUGAGGCCGCCUUCUCCGGUGCUGGGGGGGUUAGGACUUCGGUAUAUAAGUGGGGACACCACUCACCCUGUAAUGGCCAAGAGGUGCCAGGCGGGCCCCUGUGCUUUGGGCUGGGAACCCCAAGCCACAAAGGAGGGAGCGGGUGGUGAUUUUAGGACAGAUUUGCUACUAACCUCCUCCAAAGGGAGUGAGAGCCCACCCCAGCCCCUCUUGAGUGGCCAGUGCCCCCCCCCACUGUCCUGCUCAGGGACCCCGGGGGGUAAGGAAGGCUCUGGCCUGCGGGGAGAGCCUCCCACAGUCCCCUGAAGUGCCCGGGCCUCGGCUGAGCGGGUGGGCAGCCCAGGGCUAAGCUCCAAAUGUGUGUGUCCGACCAUCUCACUGGGUGGCUUUUUUUUUUUUUUUUUUUUCGUGGCAUCCAGAUGCCAGAAGGAAGCUCUAUUGUAAACUGUGUUCUAUUUCUGAGCCCCAACAUCUAAAAGAAGCGAUGCACCUGUCGGGGAUGGAGGAAGGGAAUUUCACAGGCCUAAAAUAAAGUCCAUGUUUGCCCU
rnacentral:lncRNA from 1 species